rnacentral:rRNA from 1 species
GACGAACCGUCCUAACGUUUUUCGGAAUCACUGGGCUUAAAGGGCGCGUAGGCGGGCGAUCAAGUCCAGGGUGAAAUCUUUCGGCUUAACUGGAAAACAGCCUUGGAUACUGAUUGUCUCGAGGGAGGCAGGGGCCGUUGGAACUUCCGGUGGAGCGGUGAAAUGCGUUGAUAUCGGAAGGAACGCCGGUGGCGAAAGCGAACGGCUGGACCUCUUCUGACGCUGAGGCGCGAAAGCCAGGGGAGCAAACGGG